rnacentral:lncRNA from 1 species
CUUCAUUUGGAAAACAAACCAAAACCAAAACUUACGGUCUCUCUUCUUGGAAGCAGUCUCUCUCGUAAUCUCAGGAAACCUGCUCUCAUUUCCCCACUGUUUUACACCUAUUUCCUCCAUUCUAUCAGAUUUCAACACCUCUAUGGCUGUUUAUUAGAUCCAGAAUGUUGUACACAGCUCGCCAAGCAACCAAUUACGUCCUCUAUAAAAAGAAUAUGCUACUUAUGUCUAAUUAACUUCACUACAGCAUGUUCGACAUUGUGGGAAAGUAACCUGCCGAGUCCAGGGCAGAACUGCGCCAGAUUGAAACUCUCCCAGAUGACUCUAUUGAUGAAUAAACAAAGAAGGUCGGCCGAGGUGAUGGGGACAGCCUGAAGACACUGAGAAAUAGCACCUGAGAAACUCUGCCUUCUGCAGGAGAAGGUCAAAGGGCUGAUUGUGGUCAGCCACAAUGCUGUCUGCUCUCAAUCAUGUCCCUCUGCCUGACGGGAAGCAAGGUAAGCACAGCGGCUGUUUUUUCAGCUCCGUAUUUGUACAAGUCUAACACAAGAGGGUGAACCUGUGUAAGGUCAUAUAAAUAAUGAAUAACUAGGGAAGCUGCUGAGCCAACUAUCGUGUUCAUUCAAGCGCAGCGUUCAGGCUUAGGCUUUGGGCUCUGAAGCAGGGAAAGGACCUCAUCAUGGUGCCCAUCUUUUGCACACUGAUUCCCCCUGCUUUACGUAUAUAUUCUAUACAGAAGAAAUAUUGGAAAGAGGCAGCCAAAUUAUAUUUGCUCAGUGCUUUUGACAAUGUUUAUGCUUCAGCUUAAAAUUACAAUUAACAUUUUUCUUUUAGGUCUUUUACUUUUGUAUUUUUAUAUCAUUUUGAAGUGAUAUAGACUACAGGCAAGUGAUGGACAUGUUCCCAGCAGAGGUACUUUUGUGAGCAAUCACAAGUCACAGAUACUUUUCUCACAGAUCCUGCUACUUGAGGCCUUUGUUCCAAAGCAUGCUCAUCUUUUAUCUAUUAGUUUGGGAAAGGUACCAGAGGCCAGAGAAACAUCUAGGGAAACUGAGACACAGAAGUUUAAAUAAAUAAGAGAAGAUACUAUUUCA